GUGAGCUGCCUGGAAGUCUGUUAUGUUUGGCUCUGGGCCACUUUUGUUGGUAAACCCAUAUAAGGAACUGGUAGGCCUGGCUAUUUGUGGGUGCCUAUGAAUGGAUGUGUGCACGUAUGCCAUUGCUUGUGAAUAUGACUAUUGGUGGCUGUGGCUGGAUUCUCUGCUACAAAGGAGCCAGGACUCCAUUUGAGGACCCAUGUGACUAACAGAAAUUCAAGCACUUGAACAUGAUCUGCUGCUGUCUAGGCAUCUUACCAGGAAGAUAAACUAGAGGUGGAGGUUUGUCUUGACCACAGGCCAGUAGCAGGGAGCUGAUUGGAAGUGGAACAGCCAGGACUCAAACUGAAGCCCAUACAGGAUGCAAGUGAAGCAGGCAGUGGCUUGACACAUUAUGCCAGAAUGCUGACACCCAAAAUAAGUAUUUAAAAAAAAGGAUUUAGAGCUAAUGUUGUGGCACAGCAGAUUAAAAGCCACUGCCUGGGAAUGGAUAUCUCAUACCAUAGUGCUGGUAUAAGUCUGCCUGCUCUGCUUCUGAUACAGCUUUCUGCUUAGGCACCUGGGAAGGUGUGGAAGAUGUUCCAAAAAUUUGGGCCUCUUGCAACAACACAUGAGAAAGAUCAUACAACCAGACCAAGUGGAAUUUAUCCCUAGUAUGCAGGGAUGGUUUAAUGUGCGCAAUCAAUGUGAUACACCACAUUAACAGACUGCAGAAGAAAAAACAUAUGAUUAUCUCAAUAGAUGCAGAGAAAGCAUUUGAUAAAAGACAACACCCUUUCAUGAUGAUAACUCUAAGCAAACUGGGUUUGGAAGGAACGUUCCUCAAUACAAUCAAAACGAUUUAUGAAAAAACCACGGGCAACAUCCAAUUGAAUCAGGAAAAGUUGGAAGCAUUUCCACUAAGCUCUGGUACCAGAUGAAUGCCCACUCUCAGCACUGCUAUUCAAUAUAGUUCUGGAAGUUUUAGCCAGAGCUAUUAGGCAAGAAAAAGAAAUUAAAGGGAUACAAAUUGGGAAGGAAGAAGUCAAACUAUCCCCUUUGCAGAUGAUGUGAUUGUUUAGGGGACCCAAAGAACUCUACUAAGAGACUAUUGGAACUCAUAGAAGAGGUUGGCAAAGCAUCAGGAUAUGAAAUCAAUGCACAAAAAUCAACAGUCUUUGUAUACACAGGCAAUGCCGUGGCUGAGGAAGAACUUCUAAGAUCAAUCCCAUUCACAAUAGCUACAAAAACAAUCAAAUACCUUGGAAUAAACUUAACCAAGGAUGUCAAAGACCUCUAUAAUCAGAAUUACAAAACCUUAAAGAAAGAAAUAGUAGAGGAUACCAAAAAUGGAAAAUCUUCCAUGCUCAUGGGUUGGAAGAAUCAAUAUCAUCAAAAUAUCCAUUCUCCCAAAAGCAAUUUAUAGAUUCAAUGUGAUACUAAUCAAAAUACCAAAGACAUUCUUCUCAGAUCUGGAAAAAAUGAUGCUGAAAUGCAUAUGGAGGCACAGAAGACCUCAAAUAAAGCAACCUUGUACAACAAAAGCAAAGUCUGAGACAUCACCAUACCAGAUUUCAGGACAUACUACAGGGCAGUUAUAAUCAAAACAGCAUGGUACUGGUACAGAAACAGAUAGAUAGACCAAUGGAACAGAAUAGAAAUACCAGAAAGCAAUCCAAACAUCUAUAGCCAACAACAAUUCAAGGAGUAAGAACUGUCUAUUCAACAAAUGGUGCUGGGAAAACUGGAUUUCCAUGUGCAGAAGCAUGAAGAAAGAUCCCUACCUUACACCUUACACAAAAAUCGACUCAACAUAGAUUAAAGAUCUAAAUCUCUGACCCAAAAUCAUCAAAUUAUUAGAGAACAUCAGAGAAACCCUGCAAGAUCUAAGUACAGGCAAAGAUUUCUUGGAAAAGACCAAAGAGGUACAGGCAGUCAAAACCAAAAUUACCAAUUGAGAUUACAUCAAAUUGAGAAGGUUCUGUACUGCAAAAGAAACAGGAAAGUGAAGAGGCAACUGACAGAACGGGAAAAAUAUUUGCCCAUUAUGCAACCAAUGAAGGAUUAAUAAACAGAAUCUACACAGAGAUCAAGAAACUCCACAACAACAUCAAAAAACAACCCAUUUAAGAGAUAGGCCAAGGACCUCAAUAGACAUUUUUUAAAAGAGGAAAUCCAAACAGCCAGCAGACACAUGAAAAAAUGUUCAAGAUCACUAGCAAUCAGGGAAAUGCAAAUCAAAACCACAAUGAGGUUUUACCUCACCCAGGUCAGGAUGGCUCACAUACAUAAAUCAAAUAACAACACAUGUUGGCGAGCAUGUGAGCAAAAAGGGACACUAAUCCACUGUUGGUGGGAAUGUAAACUGGUAAAGCAACUAUGGAAGACAGUUUGGAGAUUCCUCAGAAACCUGAAUAUAGCCCUACCGUAUGACCUAGCCAUCCCACUUCUUAGAAUUUACCCAAAGGAAAUUAAAUUGGCAAAUAAAUGAGUUGUCUGCACCUCAAUGUUUAUUGCAGUGCAAUUCACAAUAGUGAAGACCUGGAAUCAACCUAAAUGCCCAUCAAUAGAAGAUUGGAUAAAGAAAUUAUGGGAUAUGUACUCUAUAGAAUACUAUACAGCAGUAGAAAAAAAAAAAAAAAACGACACCUAAAAGGAAUCCUGUAGAAGUGAAAUAGACACUAUGAGAAACAAGGGGUUGAUCAGCCCUUGUCCUGACUGUCGAGGAACAACUUACUAUUUUAUUCCUUUUAGUAUUUUCUUGUUCUUCUUAACAUUUAUUGAACCCUUUAAUUAACAUACAAUUCUUCUUAGGUGUUUAAAUUUAACUGAAAAUUGAUCCCUGUUAAAUAUAAGAGUGGGAAUAAGAUACAGAGGAGAUGUACAGUUUGGCACAUGCUCACUCAGACUUACCCUUAAUAGUAGAGCUAGAAACGUGGCAGGGGAUUCCAAUUCAAUCCCAUCAAGGUGGCAUGUACCAAUGCCAUCCUACUAGUCAAAGUGAUCAGUUUAAGGUCAUAAUUGAUCAUAAUGAUAGAAGGGAUCACAUAAACAAGACUAGUGUCUGCAAAUACUAACUGAUAUAAUUAAAAAGGAGAAUACGAUCCAACAUGGUAAGCAUGAUACACAGCAGACUCAUAGAAUGGCAGAUGUCCUAAACAGCACUCUGGCCUCAGAAUCAGCCCUUAAAGCAUUCAGAGUUGGCUAAAAAGCCCAUGAGAGUUUCUCAGGCAUGGACAUCCAAGACCAUGUGGCAAAAAAAAAUGACCUAAAUGAAAGAAGUCUGUGAGAUCUCAUUGGAAAGAAUGGGCCACCAAAGAAGAAGGUACCUUUCUCUGAAGGGAGGAGUAAACUUCCACUUUGACUAUGGCCUUCUCUCAAUAAGAUAGGAGUUGGCAAACUCAAGAGGCUUCCAUAGCCUUGGAAGUCAUGACAAGAGCCUCUGGUGAUUACUGGCAUCAUAAAUAAGAGUGUCAAUUGUUAAAUCAACAACGGGAGUCACUGUGCACUUACUCCCCUUGUAAGAUCUCUGUCCUUAAUGUUUUACUAUGCGAAUUAAUGGUAAAACUACUACUCAAACAAUACUUUACACUUUGUGUUUCUGUGCAAACUGUUGAAAUCUUAGUAUAUGCUAAAUAGAUCUUCUGUAUAUAAAGAAAAUUGAAAAUGAAUCUUGAUGAA